ACCGGCACAACCGUCCUCUGUCACGAUCGGAGAGGUAGUUGAAUCAUUUGAUAACCUGACAUUCAGUCAUUUUUUUCAUUAUUAUUCGAAAGAAUAAAAACAAUACACGCGUCUUCCUUACGUGUGAGGUGUCUAUCCGAGUAGAAAAUAUGUUCUGGAACCAUAUGGUACAGUCGGUGCACACCUUUGUGUACGUGGAAAACCACUUGGUAAAUUUCAAAUUCGUAGAUGAAAGUGAGGUUAGGCCUAUCUCAGAAAUAUUUUUUAAAACUUUCCUGCUAUAAAUUUUGAAAUUGGUAGAUGCUCAAAAUCAGUGUUCUGAAUGGCUUCUACAGCAGGGAAAUAUAAACGUAUGUUGCAACUACUUGAUAAAUGGCCUGCAGAUAAAAACAAGUCCAAUGGCAGGGAUAUCGGAGACUAUUUGAGAAAGUACUUGAGCUCUGCUCUUGAAGAAAAUAAAUUCCAAGGAAACUCCUCAUACUGGGACAGACAAUAUCUAGCAGUUCAGAAACUAGUCAGUAACGCUCACAAAAGUAAAUACAAGCGAGCAGCCUCUUCUUCUGCGACAGGCCUUUCUGCAGAGGAAUGUAACGCCAUUCUAUCCGAUGAGUGCUUGAAUGAAAUAAAAAAACAGGAAAAAUCAUUUUUCAGGAGUCUCAUAUCACUAAAGUAACAGAUUGGCUGUUAUUCGUAGGAUGAGAUGCAUUCUGUUAUGAUUCCACAAAAGAGGUGGAUAGUUCCAGUCAUGAAAACUUCCAAAGUACAGCAUCGACAAUGAAUUAGUGUUACAUAAUAGCAUACCUUUUACCAAAGUAUAUGAUUAACACAAUUUUAGAGUUAUUUAUAAAUGAUUUUAUGUCUCAUUUUGUUAUCCACUAAUUUCUCAACUAAUUUUUGGAGUGCCGAGUACUAAAAUGUGAUUUUUUUAAAUGUUUUGAUGUAAUUAUGUCUGAAAUUACUUAUUUCAAAUUAAAGUUUUUUCUUCCUGUUUGCAUCUGAAA